GACAAAAAUGUCUUAAAUCACCAUAAAAUGAUUAAAUAAUUUAGAAACAUGAUUUUAUGAUAGAAAUUGUGUUUGAUCACACAAUAGCACUCAUUAUAAGAGUGGAUCUAGAAAUUUUUUUUAGGUGAAUACAGAACAGGAAUUUAGCUAUGUAAGCUGAACUGAUCUAAGAGUCCUAGAGGAUAAAUACUGUUACAGAGGUGAUUUGAGGAGAGGAUUAAUGAGAAAACAGGAAAAUGUAUGAAAUGUAGAUAUUAGUAAAAAAAUAUUACGGCCUUUUGACUAGCAUUAUAUAAAUUAGUAUUUUAAUUUUACAUUGGAGAGACUGUGAUACUCCAUAUAAUGCUAUAUUUAUCUUCAUAAGCAUAGCAAUAAAACAAAUUCAAAGUUUCCAAUUUUUUUUUUAGAAUAUUUAUAGUUUAUAUUUCUUUUUUUUGACUUAUUAAGGAAAUAUUAAUUUUAAGGCACUGGGAUUCCCAGUGAGUAGGGCAUACUUUUUUUUGCGAUUCUUUAUCUAAUUUUAUUUACAUAACUCACCAAAAGCCAAAUUUGCCUAUCUUGGUGCAUUUGAACUGAAUACAGCCUAAACAGUUUAAAAAAAACAUAAUACUUUGUUUACUCUUAACAACAUCUGAUAUUAUCAAGUUAAGAUUGUGUGUACAAUUAUUUUUCUGUUUACUUAUUAUAUAAAUAUACUACAAAAUGAGUUUCAAAAUUUUACAAUAUAAAUUGUAACAUACACAUUGUACUAUAUCUAUAGUGUUAUAGAACUCACUGACAUGAAUAAUUCUUAUGAUAAAUUAAUAAAAAAAAUAAAAAAAAGUAUGUAUAUUACAAUGUACAAUGGGACUGAAAGAGUUAAUGAUAAUUAUGCUGAUAUGAUAAUUAUAAUGAAACUUUAAUCAUUACAGAUCGCUAAACCAAUCUGUAUCUAUACAUGAUAGCUUCACAAAAUAAAGAAUGUUAACUAUUUUCAUUAGUUUUACAAUAAAUAGGUACCUUUAUUAUCACCAUUAUUCAAAUCUUGAUGUUUUAUGUGGGAAAUUUCUGUGAUAAUAAAAUAAAUACUGACAACACAAAAAUUAAUUGUGCCUACAAAAAUUUUAGGUACUCGGGUAAUUAUCAAACAACACCCCGCCUGUUGCAUUACUGUUUGCUUGUGCCCUCUACAUUUUUUUUAGUUUUGCCAAAUUAUUAUAAAAACUACAAAGAAAAUCAAAAAACGCUCUCUAAUUCACCAACUAGAUUAAAAAUUCAACAAAAAAGAUAUUUUGUGGUUUUUUUUCUAUUGGGGCAAUAUUUCUGAUAAAAAACAAACCAUGGAAAUUUAAAAUAACAAAAUACUAAGGCCACACAUAAAUACCGGAUUAUGUUAAUUCAGACAAUGGUGUUUAAAAUUAAACCGGCCCAUUAAUUAAUGGC